AGCAGUAGCCACGGUAAUACGUAGGUGGCAAGCGUUGUCCGGAAUUAUUGGGCGUAAAGGGCUCGCAGGCGGUUUCUUAAGUCUGAUGUGAAAGCCCCCGGCUCAACCGGGGAGGGUCAUUGGAAACUGGGAAACUUGAGUGCAGAAGAGGAGAGUGGAAUUCCACGUGUAGCGGUGAAAUGCGUAGAGAUGUGGAGGAACACCAGUGGCGAAGGCGACUCUCUGGUCUGUAACUGACGCUGAGGAGCGAAAGCGUGGGGAGCGAACAGGAUUAGAUACCCGUGUAGUCCCUGUCUCUUAUAC
rnacentral:rRNA from 1 species